rfam:Eimeria mitis, Houghton, WGS project CBTT01000000 data, contig: Emh_scaff8373_1
CCUCCCGUCGCCGCAAUCGAUCGGACGGCCCUGUGGAUCCAUCGGACUGGCCAAUGCCUUUCCGAGGCUAGCCGGAAGGUUGCGUAAAUAGAGCCCUCUAAAGGAUGCAAACGCCGUAACAUGGUUUUCGUAGGUGAACCUGAGGAAG